rnacentral:rRNA from 1 species
GUGUGGGAUAUUGCACAAUGGAGGAAACUCUGAUGCAGCAACGCCGCGUGAGGGAUGAAGGUUUUCGGAUUGUAAACCUCUGUCUUCAGGGAAGAAAUAAAUGACGGUACCUGAGGAGGAAGCUCCGGCUAACUACGUGCCAGCAGCCGCGGUAAUACGUAGGGAGCGAGCGUUGUCCGGAUUUAUUGGGUGUAAAGGGUGCGUAGGCGGCUUUGCAAGUCAGGCGUGUAAGCCAGAGGCUCAACCUCUGAAUUGCGCUUGAAACUGCAUUGCUUGAGUAGAGUAGAGGCAAAUGGAAUUUCUAGUGUAGCGGUGAAAUGCGUAGAUAUUAGAAGGAACAUCAGUGGCGAAGGCGAUUUGCUGGGCUCUUACUGACGCUGAGGCACGAAAGUGUGGGGAGCAAACAGGAUUAGAUACCCCAGUAGUCC